rnacentral:lncRNA from 1 species
UUUUGUUGUAAUUGUCUUGACUAUUUUCUGUCGUGUAUUAUGUUCCAGAUGAACCUGUGAUGUGACUCCUGGGAGUAGUUUGCAAUCACCAUUGGCCCAAAAGGAGCCAUCUACGUGCUCAGUGGGGUCUAGUAAAGGAUAAUAUUAAUUCUUCAGCAGCCAGAGCUUUUGAAGUAGGAACUGAGGGUGUAUAGAAAAGAGCCUGGUAUGAUUCAAGGUCAGGAGCAAACAAUGGCUGCCUUCUUGGGGUGCACACACUCACUGGUUUCGUCAGGGAGCCCUAUCCUUCUGGACACAGGAAUUGGGAUUGGCUCAGGGAAAGGCAGGGCCCUCCCUAGGGUGACUUGUGAGCUUUGUCUUCUGAGAUCAAGUGUCCCAAAGACCAUGUAAGCCUGGAGCUGCUGAAGGACCUACCAUCUGUAGUGAGGCUGCCUGGGGAAUCGAGCCAACAGAAGGGAAAGAAGAGAGUUGGAGAGAGAGAGACUAAAUCAUCACGACGUUGUCUAAGUCCUUCAAUCCGACUAAGUCUGACGCCAGAGCUACCCUCUGGACUUUUCAGUUACAUGGGCCAAUAAAUUCCUUCUUUU